GUGUUCAUUUAGGCAGCACAUAUACUAAACUGGAAUAAUAUAGAGAAGAUUAGGAAAGCAUGACCCCUGUGCAAAGAUGACACAUAAAUUUUUGAAAUAUUCCAUUAAAAA